rnacentral:lncRNA from 1 species
GAUGAGAGUAUUAAGAAUGAUUGGAAGCAUUUUUGGACAGAAUAGGUCAUAGGUAUCCAAAAACCUCAUCCACAUGAUCACAAAAUGCAUCGUUACUACCGAUUUAAAUCUGUAAAAACGAAAAACAAAAAAUAAAAAACUCAGAAGCACUUACCUAGAUCUGUUAUCCAAAGUGAUUGAGAAAUUAAUAUAUACAAGUUUAACAUAAACGUAUUAUACCUCCGUCGUCGUCAUUCGUCAACAAAUUUCUCAAAAGCUUCCAAAACAGUGCAUCCGUCUCCGUGAAGACAUAUAGUCGAUAUGUUGGAGAAAACGAAACAGCUAUUUACCACGAAGUUUUAUUAUAUGCUUGGCUAAUUUAAAUAUUUAAUUAAUCAUAACUAGAUAUGCCAACGAAGUUAGUUAUCAACUAAAUGAAACCUGUGAAAAUGAUGACGAGAGAAAAGAAACGGAGGAGAGAUGAUGUUUACUUUAUUAGGCCAAUUAUGUCUUUUUUUGGCCCAAACAGUGGCCAUAGUACACCAUGAAAUGGAAAGUGUGUUUUUUGUAAAGGCUACCCUUCAAAGUGUGUCAAUAAGUAAUUCACCCUUUUUUGUAGGCUUGGGCUACUAUUCAAUAUUUUGUGACUAUUUUGCCCUCAUUAACUUCUUUCGAAACAAACUAAAAACCACAAAAAACAAUUGUCGUCCCUUUCUUCUUCUUCUUCUUAUCUUUUCCCCUUUCUCUAUCUUUGAUCGAUUGUUUUUUUUUCUCUUUUUGCAAAAUAAAACUCGUAAGAUCUCAAUCCCAACUAACAUGAUCAAACUCCCAUUAGUUUCUCCUUCAUCAUCAUCAUUAACAUACUCUCUAGUCAAACAUGUUCCCUCUAGUUCAAUAUCCAUCUACUCUUACAAGAUUGGGGCAGAGAAGCUGGAGCUUACCUAAACAAAUCUUUAGAUUUGUCGCCUUUUGCUUCAAUUCUAUUUCACCAUCUCAAUUUCUCUUUGUUUCCAAGCUCCUCCUUGUUUGCACCAAUUCUGAAGCACAAAUCUUCCCCACGUUCUGAACUCAUCAUUUGUAAUGAUAGAAUUGUUUUGCAAACAGAAAGGACCUUGGAACAAGCAUCAAUCACAGACACAUCUUUGAGAACUAAACGAGAUUUUCAAAGGUUGAAUGGUUGUUAUGGAUCUGAUCAUGUGGAUGAUGUGCAAUGGAUACUGAUCUACAAAAGCCAAAAGAACCAUUAGAAAAAAUUGAUAAUACAAAACUAAAUUAGAAACGAAAAGUAUGGUUGUCCACAUAACAUAUACUAUGUGGUUAUCUUUUCUCUUGAGGUACUUAUAAUUGUUAUCUGACUAAGUUAUGUUAUGUGUUUUUAUGCUACAAUCCAUAACAUGUCAUAGUAUCUUGUGAUUGCCAUUCGACUUAGUUGUGUUACACGAUAAUUAGUCCAUAAAGAUUUCAAAUUUUAAAUUACUGAUUAUAUAAUUUGAUUGAUCGUUUAGUUACGAAGACCAUAAAACAUUGUCUACAAUCUAAUUAAGUAGUUAAUGGUAGGUUGUAUCCAUAAUAAUAUGUUCGGUUAUACUUCACCACAAGUAGUUGAUGAACUAGAAAAAAAUCCAUGGAUACCUAAACAACAAAUAACUCACACAAAGUUUUCUAAUGAAGGUUGUGAUGGAUUCAUUGAAGGUGGAACUGUAGAUCUCUAUUGAAAACGACUUUAACUCGUCGACUGUCAAGAAGAAACAACCCCAAUCCACGAAAAUCAAAACAAAACUUAAACAAACCAUAUAAACCUUGAAAUUUGUAAAUAAUCUUGUCCACAAAAGCUUAUAAAUUUCAACACUUAGUACCAAAAUAUCACAAUUAAGUACAUAUAAUCUCAAAUAAGAAUAUAAUUUAGUAAAACCCAAGAAUCCAAAUCGAUUAAUCAUAGAACCCAAAAACUCAAAAUUUUCUCUAAUCGAAUCAAAUUUAAGAUUAAAAAUUUCAAAAGAUAACAAUCAAUCAUUAAAAUACCAAUCAAAUUAUGAAACCUCUUAUCAAAAUUCAUAGGAUCUUAAGAUUUCACCUACUUUAGAUCACAUCUUUGUUGAAAUGGUUAUUG